rnacentral:rRNA from 1 species
UACGUAGGGUGCGAGCGUUAAUCGGAAUUACUGGGCGUAAAGCGUGCGCAGGCGGUGAUGUAAGACAGAUGUGAAAUCCCCGGGCUCAACCUGGGAACUGCAUUUGUGACUGCAUCGCUGGAGUGCGGCAGAGGGGGAUGGAAUUCCGCGUGUAGCAGUGAAAUGCGUGGAUAUGCGGAGGAACACCGAUGGCGAAGGCAAUCCCCUUGGCCUGCACUGACGCUCAUGCACGAAAGCGUGGGGAGCAAACAGG